UUGAGGCAGGCGGAAUGCGUGGUGUAGCGGUGAAAUGCAUAGAUAUCACGCAGAACCCCGAUUGCGAAGGCAGCCUGCCAAGCCAUGACUGACGCUGAUGCACGAAAGCGUGGGGAUCAAACAGGAUUAGAUACCCUGGUAGUCCACGCAGUAAACGAUGAUCACUAGCUGUUUGCGAUACACUGUAAGCGGCACAGCGAAAGCGUUAAGUGAUCCACCUGGGGAGUACGCCGGCAACGGUGAAACUCAAAGGAAUUGACGGGGGCCCGCACAAGCGGAGGAACAUGUGGUUUAAUUCGAUGAUACGCGAGGAACCUUACCCGGGUUUGAACGCAUUCGGACCGAGGUGGAAACACCUUUUCUAGCAAUAGCCGUUUGCGAGGUGCUGCAUGGUUGUCGUCAGCUCGUGCCGUGAGGUGUCGGCUUAAGUGCCAUAACGAGCGCAACCCUUGCCACUAGUUACUAACAGGUAAAGCUGAGGACUCUGGUGGGACUGCCAGCGUAAGCUGCGAGGAAGGCGGGGAUGACGUCAAAUCAGCACGGCCCUUACAUCCGGGGCGACACACGUGUUACAAUGGCGUGGACAAAGGGAAGCCACCUGGCGACAGGGAGCGAAUCCCCAAACCACGUCUCAGUUCGGAUCGGAGUCUGCAACCCGACUCCGUGA
rnacentral:rRNA from 1 species